rnacentral:rRNA from 2 species
UUGACCUCGGAUCAGGUAGGGAUACCCGCUGAACUUAAGCAUAA